AUUUAUCUAUCUUGCAUGCUUUCUUGUUCCCUACCCUGGCUAUUUAGAUGUGUAGCAUGUAGAAGAACUCGCCUAAACAUGCUAUCUUGGUCUCAACCCCAGUGAGCUACACGUGCAUUUACAAGAAAUUCACUAAACAUGCUAUCUUCUUAUCUAGCUUGCUGUGGAGCAUGUUGAAGGACUUUACUUAACAUGUUAAAAGAUGUUUUGAUGCAAGGUGCCGAAUCAGGACCCUAAGUCUAGUCAUCUUGACUGAAAAUUUACUUUAUUGCGUCUGGGGUCUGCUCUCACUUACACACACUGACCUGAGUGUGUGUGUGUGUGUGUGUGUGUGUGUGUGUGUGUGUGUGUGUGUGUGUGUGUGUGUGUGUGUGUGUGUGUGUGUGUGUGUGUGUGUGUGUGUGUGUGUGUGUUACAUAGAUUCUGCUGGCAAUGAGGAAAAACCUGAACUUAAUGGAAACCAGAGAGACAAUGCAGCACAAGAGUCCCGGUCGUUCCUCAAGUCAGGCUUGAUGUUCUAGAGAGAGAGGACCCCUCGCUCCGUCACCGUAGCAACAGCCUCCACACCUUAACUCUCGUCGGCACGGAGACUGUCUCCGGAUGCUUUGACGGCUGACCUUGCUAAAUGGGACAGCCCCCCACCCCUCCACCUCCUCCCCCUUCAACUGAUGGCGUUGCUGGGACGAUAGAUCCUACAGGAGAACCGGGAUCGUUUUAUCUCUCUCCCUCUCUUUCUCUCUCUCUUUCUCUCUAAAAUGUGACCUUUGUCAUCCCUCGCUUCCAAGAGACGACAAAUGUCUCCCCUGAGAACUGGGUCACGGCUGUUUCCAUUAGGACAGCACCUGAUUGGACCUCUCCUUGCCGUGGAGGGGCCUGGUUGGCUAAGCUGGCCCCAUGAGGUCGUCAGGGAGCGCCCUGAUUGGCCCGGUUUGACCUGGCUCCGCCUACAUUCUAGAUAAGCGAUGAUUUCUGCUUUCUUAUGGCACGACCGAGAUGUUGAACUCUUUAAUAGCCACUUCCUUAUUAGGACCCCCCCCCCCACCCCAGACUUAAGAUCACCUCAUUGGCUAUUACGAUGUUACACCAGCCAAUCAGAGGAGCUCAGGACUGAGGAGGAGGGGCUCAAAAAAUAAAGAAGAAUCCAAGGAAACAUAAAUGUUGGUUUUAAAUGAAUUUAACCAACUUCAACUGGUUUUGUUUCUGUACAGAGACACACAAAUGCAUGGGAAACUUCUCUUAUGUUGUUAAGCAACAUUUUUUUAACUUCUACCACCCCCACUUUCCCCCCUCCCUCUCUCUCUCCUCCUCUCUCUAUUACCAUUUUUUUUCUUUAUAUAUCCCUUCUAUCUAUUAAAUGUUCUAUCUCUCAUGCUCUCUCUCUCUCUCUCUCUCUCUCUCUCUCUCUCUCUCUCUCUCUCUCUCUCUCUCUCUCUCUCUCUCUCUCUCUCUCUCUCUCUCUCUCUCUCUCUCUCUCUCUCUCUCUCUUGUUCUUCCCCCCCUCCUCCUUCUCUCUAUGUAAUUAUAUGUAUGAUUUUAAAAUGUUGGUUUCAACAUUUCUAUGUAUCUACGUACUUUCUAAUUCACUCAAGGACAUUUCUUAAAUGAUGAAAAUGUAAAAGAGAAAGAAAAAAAAACUAGAAAAAACCAUUGUCAUCCAUUUUGAAGAAUAUGUGGAGUGGUUUUUAGAUUCUGUAUAUUCCCAGGGAAGAUGAACUCUCUUCCUCCACGUUUGACCUUUUGACCUUUGACCCCUCACACCCUCAUUCCCCAUGUUACCAGCAGAUAAAUGAGUGACGUUUUUUUUGUGAUGUUUAAACUCUGAGGAGCGCUUGGUUUGUCCCUUCUGAAGGAUACAGUUGAACACCACAUCUAUAAGUGUGUGUUUAUGAAUCAUAUCCGUUUAUAAAUUAUUUCAUUGAUUAAAAAGGUAAAAAUGCAGCUUUAGAAAUGCUAAAACAGUGUAACCACAAAAUGAUUGGUCAAUGUAGUAUAUUAAAACAAUUACAUUGAUUGGCUUACGAACAGCAAGCGGACGUGUGCUCGGAUCUGCUUAUGUUAGCAUGCUAAGCUAGUUUAGCACAUUUCUUCCGUUUUUCGUAGCGGCUAGAGAACUGUUCUAUACUUAAUCUUUUUAAAACCUUUAAGACCAUUAUUUUAAGCCCCCUCUGAAAAGAAAAACAUAUUGUUUGAAUCGUUUAGCUUUUAUCAUCAGUUGACGCUAUAUUAUUAACCAACCCACACGGGCGACAUCAUACACACAAAACACACACACACACACACACACACACACACACACACACACACACACACACACACACACACACACACACACACACACACACACACACACACACACACACACACACACACACACACACACGCACAAACCAGCUGCAGGCUACGACAAGCUUCAGGUCGUUAGCAUAUCACACCUUUCUGUUAACUAACCUUACCCCUACAGGGCACCAUACCCGUGUAUAUCAAGCUCUCCUCAUCCGCCAAACAUCCGAAGGAUUAAGAACUGUUGUGUUGAAGUUGAGUUGAAUAUUUGGAGUGUUCAUUGUUGGUUUGUAGUUUAUUAUAGGACUUGUAUACAGGAGGGAGGAACGUGUAGAUAGGAACGACAGACCUCUGUCUGUCUGUCUGUUUUACCUUGACCAGUCUGUCACUGUUUUGCUUUUGAACUGACUGCAAAUACACAGUAUUAUACUGGC